ACGGGUGAGUAACGCGUGGGUAACCUACCCUGUACACACGGAUAACAUACCGAAAGGUAUGCUAAUACGGGAUAAUAUAUUUGAGAGGCAUCUCUUGAAUAUCAAAGGUGAGCCAGUACAGGAUGGACCCGCGUCUGAUUAGCUAGUUGGUAAGGUAAAGGCUUACCAAGGCGACGAUCAGUAGCCGACCUGAGAGGGUGAUCGGCCACAUUGGAACUGAGACACGGUCCAAACUCCUACGGGAGGCAGCAGUGGGGAAUAUUGCACAAUGGGCGAAAGCCUGAUGCAGCAACGCCGCGUGAGUGAUGAAGGCCUUCGGGUCGUAAAACUCCGUCCUCAAGGAAGAUAAUGACGGUACUUGAGGAGGAAGCCCCGGCUAACUACGUGCCAGCAGCCGCGGUAAUACGUAGGGGGCUAGCGUUAUCCGGAUUUACUGGGCGUAAAGGGUGCGUAGGCGGUCUUUCAAGUCAGGAGUGAAAGGCUACGGCUCAACCGUAGUAAGCUCUUGAAACUGGGAGACUUGAGUGCAGGAGAGGAGAGUGGAAUUCCUAGUGUAGCGGUGAAAUGCGUAGAUAUUAGGAGGAACACCAGUUGCGAAGGCGGCUCUCUGGACUGUAACUGACGCUGAGGCACGAAAGCGUGGGGAGCAAACAGGAUUAGAUACCCUGGUAGUCCACGCUGUAAA
rnacentral:rRNA from 1 species